rnacentral:ncRNA from 1 species
CAUAUAGCAAUGAUGAAGCUACGACUAUUUCAAUAUUUUAGAGAGCUGAUGAUAGGUGAAAAUCAGUAUAUUAUAUAGUCUUUCCACUUCGGAGCUACUGAUGAAGAAUCAGAGGGGAGUGCUCCUUAAAGCACAGUAAAGAGGUCACUAAUGUGACAACUGGAGUGGUACCACGGGAUAUAAUAGCUCUCGUCUCUAUA